CCAGCAGCCGCGGUAAUUCCAGCUCCAAUAGCGUAUAUUAAAGUUGUUGCAGUUAAAAAGCUCGUAGUUGGACUUUCGAUCGCUCAGGUGGUCCGCCGAAAGGUGUGCACUGCUUUUGAGUGAUCUUCCUCUCGAGGACGGCAUGUGUCCUUAACUGUGGCGUGUGUCGGACUCGGGGCUUUUACUUUGAAAAAAUUAGAGUGUUCAAAGCAGGCCUUCGCUUGAAUACUUCAGCAUGGAAUAAUGGAAUAGGACUUUGGUCUUAUUUGUUGGUUUCAGGACCGAAGUAAUGAUUAAUAGGGACAGUCGGGGGCAUUAGUAUUUAAUUGUCAGAGGUGAAAUUCUUGGAUUUAUGAAAGACUAACUACUGCGAAAGCAUUUGCCAAGG
rnacentral:rRNA from 1 species